UACGUAGGGGCAAGCGUUGUCCGGAAUCAUUGGGCGUAAAGAGCGUGUAGGCGGUCCGGUAAGUCGGCUGUGAAAGUCCAGGGCUCAACCCUGGGAUGCCGGUCGAUACUGCCGGACUAGAGUUCGGAAGAGGCGAGUGGAAUUCCUGGUGUAGCGGUGAAAUGCGCAGAUAUCAGGAGGAACACCUAUGGCGAAGGCAGCUCGCUGGGACGUGACUGACGCUGAGGUGCGAAAGCGUGGGGAGCAAACAGG
rnacentral:rRNA from 1 species